GGGAAAAUUAUCAAGUUGUUGACCAGUAGUGACCUUGACUACUUUACACUAGAUGAGACCAUUCUUUUCACAGCUAUCUACUACAAAAAUUCAGGGUGGGCCACGGCCCACCCGACCGCCCUGCUGCGUACACCCCUGACAUCAACUAAUUUGCGAAGCUUUGAGCUCCUGAAAUUUCUUGUCACAGGAAUCAGCAGUGCAAUGCAAUGGUACACAAGAAAGUUGGUGCCUCGUGUUCUGGACAAAUGCGCCAUAUAUCCCUACUCAUUGCCAUGGUGCUUGAGAAGUGCUGCUGUGAGCUCCUGCGCAACACCUCCCUACUGUCCCUCAUCCCUAGAAGGCUGGAAUACUAGGUGUCUACUCAUCUGCCUUGCACUGAUUUAUUCAUGUAAUCUAUCUUGCUGAUUCCACUUUCAUAUAAUUGUGUCUUGAUUUUAAUGAAGAUAUCCCUGAUACUAAGGAAUGGCUUCAAAAGGGCUUUCCUUAUGGAUCUGCCAUUGAAGGGUUGGCUUAAUUUUCCCACUUUACUGACUUAGACUUAUAACCGAAAAUUUGGUUCUGCUCUUUGUCUUAGGCUGCAAGAUAAAUUCAUCUUGUUAAGUGGAUUUUUCUUCCAACACCGAAGUGCUACUGAGAUCAAUCUAGAGAUUUAUCAUUAGGAAAACCGGUUACUGUAUUGACUAAUAUGGGCAUUUAGAAAUAUGUGGUGAUUAAUUUCCCAUUCAGAUGUUAUACUGUAUACAUCAUAUGCAAGCAUAUACAUGAGCGAGCUUAACAUUUUCAAUCUGAAUUUGGUGCCAAAAGUCAAAUAGGUAACCUCUUCGUAAAAAUCCUGCUCUCGUGCUUUUCGGAUACCCAUUGCUAUUUCUUCGAUAGUAGUAUUCAAUCUCUGGUGGCCAAGCUGGAAUUAAAACAAUCAUGAAGUUUUUCAAAAUAUAUGUACCUGAUGCUUAGUUCGUUGCACAUUAAUCACGUGUAAAUGCAUGGAUGUUUGGUUGCAUUUUCCCUUAAUCUAUUGACCAAAAAAGUAGAAGUUUCCCUGUUUAGUUUUUCAUCCAGUAUACCACUGUAUCAAGAUCCUUUGCAAGAUAAAGAAUCCGUUGGAAAAAUUGUAUUCAUGUAGAUGCCUGCUAGCUGCAUAUUUCUCAUAUCCUGUUUUGGCGUUUGGCUCUGACAUAUGUUGGCUGUUGGACUUUAUAUUGAUAUAUUCAGAUUUAGACAUUGAUAAAUUUGCAUCAGUGCUUGUUUUAGGAAGAUUCUGUUAUGAUAAUUCUUGAGCCCGCUUCGUUGCAAAUAGAUUAAAGUCUCCUUUGAAUUGGGCAAAAAUUGAAGUCCUCUUUAAAUUGAAUAAUAUGUAAAUUACUAUUGAUUUAUUGUACAGUCUAUUGAUCAAUUUCAUAGGCAUGCUAAGGUAGCAACUAAACACCAGUUUUGUUCCAA